UACAGAGGUCCCAAGGCGUUGUUCGGAUUCACUGGGCGUAAAGGGGUGCGUAGGUGGUAGGGUAAGUUUGAUGUGAAAUCUCCGAGCUUAACUCGGAAACUGCAUUGAAUACUAUUUUACUUGAGGUUUGGAGGGGGGACUGGAAUUCUCGGUGUAGCAGUGAAAUGCGUAGAUAUCAGGAGGAACACCGGUGGCGAAGGCGGC
rnacentral:rRNA from 1 species